rnacentral:rRNA from 1 species
UACGGAGGGUGCGAGCGUUGUCCGGAAUCAUUGGGCGUAAAGGGCGCGUAGGUGGCGGGACAAGCGUGCGGUGAAAGCCUGGGGCUCAACCCCGGGUCGGCCGUGCGAACUGUUUUGCUUGAGCACUGUAGAGGCAGGCGGAAUUCCGGGUGUAGCGGUGGAAUGCGUAGAGAUUCGGAAGAACACCGGUGGCGAAGGCGGCCUGCUGGGCAGUAGCUGACACUGAGGCGCGACAGCGUGGGGAGCAAACAGG